UAUUUGUUUAGUACUCUUAUUAAAUUGUCGUUUAUUUUUGUUAAAGCUCUGGAAUGGAUUUGUGUAGCAAUAAAAGCAACUGGAGAAUUCGUAGAAUUGCUGGAAAAACUCAGAAGCGUUUUCAAUUGUUGUUUGAUGGAUUUCUGAGUUGUCUGGAACUGGAAUAUGAUUGGGCCAGGUUAACGCACUUUGAGUUUGUCUGCAAUUGAUGUCAAAUUCUCAGUAACUCAAUAGCUUCAAAGGAUAAAACAAUGUCCUUAUGGUUAAUAAUAUUCCAGGCCAACAGGCCAACAAAACAAAAUACAUUGUCUUGAAUAUCAAAUAAAUUUUGGUUUUUUAACAAGUGGUUGAAACCCUGACCAAGUCUAUAUCAAUUCUUUUUGUCUGACUCUUCGUUUUAUGUCGCGUUCUGGGAACUUUUC